CCUACGGGGGGCAGCAGUGAGGAAUAUUGGUCAAUGGACGAGAGUCUGAACCAGCCAAGUAGCGUGAAGGAUGACUGCCCUAUGGGUUGUAAACUUCUUUUAUAUGGGAAUAAAACAGGGUAUGCAUACCCUCUUGUAUGUACCAUAUGAAUAAGGAUCGGCUAACUCCGUGCCAGCAGCCGCGGUAAUACGGAGGGUGCAAGCGUUGUCCGGAAUCAUUGGGCGUAAAGAGUUCGUAGGCGGCACGUAAAGUCUGGUGUUAAAGGCAGAGGCUCAACUUCUGUACGGCACUGGAUACUUGCGAGCUAGAAUGCGGUAGAGGUAAAGGGAAUUCCUGGUGUAGCGGUGAAAUACUUAGAUAUCAGGAGGAACAUCGGUGGCGUAAGCGCUUUACUGGGCCGUAAUUGACGCUGAGGAACGAAAGCCAGGGUAGCAAAUGGGAUUAGAUACCCGUGUAGUC
rnacentral:rRNA from 1 species